rfam:Salmo salar isolate Sally breed double haploid chromosome ssa04, whole genome shotgun sequence.
AAUAACACAUAUUGUAAGUCGCUCUGGAUAAGAGCGUCUGCUAAAUGACGUAAA